ACGUAGGGUGCGAGCGUUGUCCGGAAUUAUUGGGCGUAAAGGGCUCGUAGGCGGUUUGUCGCGUCGGGAGUGAAAACACCGGGCUUAACUCGGUGCUUGCUUUCGAUACGGGCAGACUAGAGGUAUGCAGGGGAGAACGGAAUUCCUGGUGUAGCGGUGAAAUGCGCAGAUAUCAGGAGGAACACCGGUGGCGAAGGCGGUUCUCUGGGCAUUACCUGACGCUGAGGAGCGAAAGUGUGGGGAGCGAACAGG
rnacentral:rRNA from 1 species